CAUGCAAGUCGAACGUGAAACCCGGUACUUGUAUUAGGGUGGAAAGUGGCGGACGGGUGAGUAACACGUUGGUGACCUGCCCUGAGGAGGGGGAUAGCCGUGGGAAACCAUGGCUAAUACCCCGGAUGUCUAAGAGGUUAGAGUGCUUAGACUAAAGCUCUGGCGCCUCGGGAGGGGCCUGCGGGCUAUCAGCUUGUUGGUGGGGUAAUGGCCUACCAAGGCUAAGACGGCUAGGGGGCGUGAGAGCGUGGCCCCCCACAAUGGAACUGAGACACGGUCCAUACUCCUACGGGAGGCAGCAGUGAGGAAUAUUGCGCAAUGGGGGAAACCCUGACGCAGCAACGCCGCGUGGACGAUGAAGGCCUUCGGGUUGUAAAGUCCUUUUCUGAGGGAAGAUAGUGACGGUACCUCAGGAAUAAGUCCCGGCUAACUACGUGCCAGCAGCCGCGGUAAAACGUAGGGGGCGAGCGUUAUCCGGAUUUACUGGGCGUAAAGCGCACGUGGGUGGUGUCGUAAGUUGGACGUGAAAGCUCUUGGCUUAACUGAGAGAGGUCGUUCAAAACUGCGGCGCUUGAGGAUAGAAGAGGGGAGUGGAAUUCCCGGUGUAGUGGUGGAAUGCGUAGAUAUCGGGAGGAACACCAGUGGCAAAGGCGGCUCCCUGGUCUAUCUCUGACGCUGAGGUGCGAAAGCGUGGGGAGCGAACGGGAUUAGAUACCCCGGUAGUCCACGCUGUAAACGAAUGGAUACUAAGGUGUGGGAGGUCAUCUAACCCUUCCGUGC
rnacentral:rRNA from 1 species